rnacentral:rRNA from 1 species
UACGGGGGGAGCAAGCGUUGUCCGGAUUUACUGGGCGUAAAGAGCGCGCAGGCGGUCGUUCAAGUCGCGUGUGAAAGCCCCCGGCUCAACUGGGGAGGGUCACGCGAUACUGAUCGACUCGAAGGCAGGAGAGGGUAGUGGAAUUCCCGGUGUAGUGGUGAAAUGCGUAGAUAUCGGGAGGAACACCAGUGGCGAAGGCGACUACCUGGCCUGUUCUUGACGCUGAGGCGCGAAAGCUAGGGGAGCGAACAGG